AGAGUUUGAUCCUGGCUCAGGACGAACGCUGGCGGCGUGCCUAACACAUGCAAGUCGAGCGGAGACAGUGAGUAGCUUGCUAUGAGCUGUUUUAGCGGCGGACGGGUGAGUAACGCGUGAGCAACCUUUCCCAGACAGGGGAAUAACACACCGAAAGGUGUACUAAUACCGCAUAAGACCACGGGAUCACAUGGUUCUGGGGUAAAAGAUUUAUCGGUUUGGGGUGGGCUCGCGUCCGAUUAGGUAGUUGGUGAGGUAACGGCCCACCAAGCCGACGAUCGGUAGCCGACCUGAGAGGGUGAUCGGCCACAUUGGGACUGAGACACGGCCCAAACUCCUACGGGAGGCAGCAGUGGGGAAUAUUGGGCAAUGGAGGAAACUCUGACCCAGCAACGCCGCGUGGAGGAAGAAGGUUUUCGGAUCGUAAACUCCUGUCCUUGGAGACGAGUAGAAGACGGUAUCCAAGGAGGAAGCCCCGGCUAACUACGUGCCAGCAGCCGCGGUAAUACGUAGGGGGCAAGCGUUGUCCGGAAUAAUUGGGCGUAAAGGGCGCGUAGGCGGCUCGGUAAGUCUGGAGUGAAAGUCCUGCUUUUAAGGUGGGAAUUGCUUUGGAUACUGUCGGGCUUGAGUGCAGGGGAGGUUAGUGGAAUUCCCAGUGUAGCGGUGAAAUGCGUAGAGAUUGGGAGGAACACCAGUGGCGAAGGCGACUAACUGGACUGUAACUGACGCUGAGGCGCGAAAGUGUGGGGAGCAAACAGGAUUAGAUACCCUGGUAGUCCACACUGUAAACGAUGAAUGCUAGGUGUAGGGGGUAUCGACCCCUUCUGUGCCGCAGUCAACACAAUAAGCAUUCCGCCUGGGGAGUACGGCCGCAAGGUUGAAACUCAAAGGAAUUGACGGGGGCCCGCACAAGCAGCGGAGCGUGUGGUUUAAUUCGACGCAACGCGAAGAACCUUACCAGGUCUUGACAUCCACUUAAACUUACAGAGAUGUAAGGUGUGCUUGCACAAAGUGAGACAGGUGGUGCAUGGUUGUCGUCAGCUCGUGUCGUGAGAUGUUGGGUUAAGUCCCGCAACGAGCGCAACCCUUAUCUUCAGUUACUAACGCGUAAAGGUGAGGACUCUGAAGAGACUGCCGGGGACAACUCGGAGGAAGGUGGGGACGGCGUCAAAUCAUCAUGCCCCUUAUGACCUGGGCUACACACGUACUACAAUGGCGAUCGAACAGAGAGAAGCAAGACAGCGAUGUGGAGCCAAUCCCAAAAAAUCGCCCCAGUUCAGAUUGCAGGCUGCAACUCGCCUGCAUGAAGUCGGAAUUGCUAGUAAUCGCAGAUCAGCAUGCUGCGGUGAAUACGUUCCCGGGCCUUGUACACACCGCCCGUCACACCAUGGGAGUCGGUAACACCCAAAGCCGGUCGUCUAACCUUCGGGAGGACGCCGUCUAAGGUGGGAUUGAUGACUGGGGUGAAGUCGUAACAAGGUA
rnacentral:rRNA from 1 species